rnacentral:lncRNA from 1 species
UUACAGAUGUUCCACAUCCGAGACUACAAAACGGAAUAGGUUACGGGAAGUAGAAUUAGACCAAAGACAGAAGAAAUGGCAACUAUCUCCAAAGUUGUGGGGAGAAAGUCCUGGGGACAGUCCAAGGACACCACUGUGGGAAGUUAUGGGGAGGAGGCAAGUCUCACCUGAUUCAGGAAGAACAUUCCAACCUUAACAGAGAUGUCCACCCAGGAGGGAUCUUCCUCUUCAAAACAGUUCAACCUUCACCAGAAGCUGGAUCUCAUCAUUUCAUACACUUAAAAAGCCCUUCAGUUAUCAGAAGAGCUGAACCUCCUAGACUCACCACCUCUCCAACCCAGACCUCUUGGUUCUAAGGACCAGCACUCUCUGCACCCACUUUGGUUCAUUUGGGUUUAUUUUUAUUAGGACAAUCGCCCAUAGUCCUUAGGCCAACGUGUAACUCCACAAAAAGUAACCCUUGAUUUAGUGAAACACUGAUUCCCCAGAUGCAACUACCAGCUGCGUCUCUGUGGCCCUCUUGGAGCUCAGUGGUUGGCCAGUGAGUGACUGCCCUCUUGUGGAAAUGAAGAAUACAGCUGCUUAGAAAAGUACUUGGAUCGUUUUUUUCUGUUGGCCCUCCACUUCUGGUCUUACCUCCCCCUACAAGCAUAACAUUUUGGUGUGGGCCACAAAGUUCUUGACCUCAGCCCCAGGCAUCAUUUUGUCUCCCAAGAUCCUCAUCCUCAGCCACAAUACAAAGCCUGGGUUUCUAGACAGUGGUGGGACUUUGUAGACUCUACUUCUGUGAACAGUGACCUUUAGAAGUCAAUGCAGUGCUAAGGAAAGGGUGCUGGACCAGGUAUAAAUUCAUGUUUGAUCAUUCUGUGUGAUCUACUCAUAAAAAGAAAAAAAAAAUCUGUUGAUAAGGGGCUACAAGGCCAUGACCACUUGA